CAGCCGCCGCGGUAAUACCAGCACCUCAAGUGGUCAGGAUGAUUAUUGGGCCUAAAGCAUCCGUAGCCUGCUUUGUUAGUUUUCGGUUAAAUCCAUACGCUCAACGUAUGGGCUGCCGGGAAUACUGCAAAGCUAGGGAGUGGGAGAGGUAGACGGUACUCGGUAGGAAGGGGUAAAAUCCUUUGAUCUAUUGAUGACCACCUGUGGCGAAGGCGGUCUACCAGAACACGUCCGACGGUGAGGGAUGAAAGCUGGGGGAGCAAACCGGAUUAGAUACCCGGGUAGUCCCAGCUGUAAACUAUGCAAACUCGGUGAUGCAUUGGCUUGAUGCCAAUGCAGUGCCGCAGGGAAGCCGUUAAGUUUGCCGCCUGGGAAGUACGUACGCAAGUAUGAAACUUAAAGGAAUUGGCGGGGGAGCAC
rnacentral:rRNA from 2 species